rnacentral:rRNA from 1 species
CAGCACCUCAAGUAGUCAGGAUGAUUAUUGGGCCUAAAGCAUCCGUAGCCGGCGCUGUAAGUUUUCGGUUAAAUCUGUACGCUCAACGUACAGGCUGCCGGGAAUACUGCAGCGCUAGGGAGUGGGAGAGGUAGACGGUACUCGGUAGGAAGGGGUAAAAUCCUUUGAUCUAUUGAUGACCACCUGUGGCGAAGGCGGUCUACCAGAACACGUCCGACGGUGAGGGAUGAAAGCUGGGGGAGCAAACCGGAUUAGAUACCCGAGUAGUCC